AGAGUUUGAUCCUGGCUCAGAUUGAACGCUGGCGGCAUGCCUUACACAUGCAAGUCGAACGGUAACAGGUUAAGCUGACGAGUGGCGAACGGGUGAGUAAUAUAUCGGAACGUGCCCAGUCGUGGGGGAUAACUGCUCGAAAGAGCAGCUAAUACCGCAUACGACCUGAGGGUGAAAGCGGGGGAUCGCAAGACCUCGCGCGAUUGGAGCGGCCGAUAUCAGAUUAGGUAGUUGGUGGGGUAAAGGCCCACCAAGCCAACGAUCUGUAGCUGGUCUGAGAGGACGACCAGCCACACUGGGACUGAGACACGGCCCAAACUCCUACGGGAGGCAGCAGUGGGGAAUUUUGGACAAUGGGCGCAAGCCUGAUCCAGCCAUGCCGCGUGCGGGAAGAAGGCCUUCGGGUUGUAAACCGCUUUUGUCAUGGACUAAAAGGUUCUGGUUAAUACCUGGGACUCAUGACGGUACCCGAAGGAUAAGCACCGGCUAACUACGUGCCAGCAGCCGCGGUAAUACGUACGGUGCAAGCGUUAAUCUGAAUUACUGGGUAGCAGUGAAAUGCGUAGAUAUGCGGAGGAACACCGAUGGCGAAGGCAAUCCCCUGGACCUGUACUGACGCUCAUGCACGAAAGCGUGGGGAGCAAACAGGAUUAGAUACCCUGGUAGUCCACGCCCUAAACGAUGUCAACUGGUUGUUGGGAGGGUUUCUUCUCAGUAACGUAGCUAACGCGUGAAGUUGACCGCCUGGGGAGUACGGCCGCAAGGUUGAAACUCAAAGGAAUUGACGGGGACCCGCACAAGCGGUGGAUGAUGUGGUUUAAUUCGAUGCAACGCGAAAAACCUUACCUACCCUUGACAUGCCAGGAAUCCUGAAGAGAUUUGGGAGUGCUCGAAAGAGAGCCUGGACACAGGUGCUGCAUGGCCGUCGUCAGCUCGUGUCGUGAGAUGUUGGGUUAAGUCCCGCAACGAGCGCAACCCUUGUCAUUAGUUGCUACGAAAGGGCACUCUAAUGAGACUGCCGGUGACAAACCGGAGGAAGGUGGGGAUGACGUCAGGUCAUCAUGGCCCUUAUGGGUAGGGCUACACACGUCAUACAAUGGCCGGGACAGAGGGCUGCCAACCCGCGAGGGGGAGCUAAUCCCAGAAACCCGGUCGUAGUCCGGAUCGUAGUCUGCAACUCGACUGCGUGAAGUCGGAAUCGCUAGUAAUCGCGGAUCAGCUUGCCGCGGUGAAUACGUUCCCGGGUCUUGUACACACCGCCCGUCACACCAUGGGAGCGGGUUCUGCCAGAAGUAAUUAGCCUAACCGCAAGGAGGGCGAUUACCACGGCAGGGUUCGUGACUGGGGUGAAGUCGUAACAAGGUAACCAAGGGCGAAUUCCACAGUG
rnacentral:rRNA from 1 species